CCUCAAAGGAGAGGAUCGCAAGCACUUGAGACUGGAGAGGUGGCAAGUGCCACACGGUGCUUCACGCUGUUAUGACACCGCAGGUGACAGGCUCUAGGGCUUUCAGGAAAGGAAAGUGUGCUGUGACUUGGAAAUCUACACACGAAGCAGACUUGAAGUGAGGAACCUACAAGAGGGCACUAAACAAUGUGGCAGGACUUCAGUCAUCAGGAACAAGGGGUGCCUCUUAAAGACAUGGAACAAACCAAUCAGAAAGGGAGACAGUAAGUGAUCCCACUACUGUGAAAUAUCUACAACUGGCAAAUUCAUUAAAGCAGAAGAUACCAAAGUCUGGAAGAAAGAAGAAAUUGAUUUUACUCAUUGGGGAUAGAAUAUCUGGAAUGAUGAAAAUGUUUUGAAGAUGGGUGCACCCACACACUGUGGAAAUAUUCAUGCAUUUAAACAUUUAAAAUUAUUAAUGUGUUAACUUUGUUAUAUGUAUUUUGCCUCAGUGAAUAAGCUCA